rnacentral:tRNA from 1 species
GCGUCGGUGGUUCAGUGGUAGAAUACUCGCCUGCCACGCGGGUGACCGGGUUCGAUUCCCGGCCGACGCA